AGAAGGAGAGACAAAGGAGGAAAUGGAAGAGCACAAAGGCAGCAAGGAAUGAAAGGAUAACCCCUCUCCACCACUGACAACUCAUAAACUGCACCCCUUCUGACACCCACUUCCAUAUGCAAAAUUCAAGUUCGUUUCAAGAUUACUCAUCUGGGCAAAACCAGCUGUUGUGAGUAGCCCUAAGAAGAGGCCCAUGGGUGAGGAAGAGAGACCCUGAGCCAGAAGCACCCAGCUAAGUUGCUUCCA